ACUACAGAGAGAACCCCUUCCUGACAAACUAACUGAGCCGCAUUUUUAUUACGUGAUUAUGAAAAUAACAGUGCGUAGAGCGUGUCAAAAAUGUGAGUUAUUUAUUCUGUAAAAAUAAGUCUAACUUAGUUAACUUACAUGCGACGGAACGUUAGUAGGAGAAAAGAAAGAAUCAAACUGCUAUUGACUAAGUUACAGAGACUGAAAUGAAUGAGCAGCCUACAAAAAGAGUAUCUGCGUGAUUUAGUGUCUUAUUUUGUCAAUAUUCCGUAUUUGAUUUUAAUUAAGUAACACGCGCUUCACUUCGCCUGCGGGAAUGAUUUAACAACCUGGAAAGCUUUUAGACGUUUUCAGGGAUGUUUGCCAGGGAACAUUAACGCUCACUGACCGACCGCCUUUAAGAUUGAUAGUAGCGAAGAAAGCUCGCGCACGACUGACUGGAAGAACGCUAUCUUGAGAAAGCGCGUGAUCCCGCUUCACAGUCAAACAGCCAGAAAAGCUUCAGGAUCUUCUCAAGGUCUGCAGCUGCUCUUCAAACAGAUCGACGGACUUCACAUAAAACAGGUGGUGUAAUUCCACACUUCUCUGUGCCUGAGUUCUGUGGGGGUAGUAGUGGAGUUGGUGUCUUUGUCUAACAGGGCAGAUGGUUCCCAGGAUGCAGUGGGGUCAUGGUUUGGUCUCCUCCAGCUCUUCACAGGUCGUGCAGACUCCAGUAUCUCUCAGGAAGAGGGCAGGUUGAGUCUGUUCAAUGGGACCCUUAGGAGCCCUCCUGCACCCAACGCUGAAAGACCCUGAAAGAACCCCAAGCUUUACAUUCAGUCAAUAGUUCAUAGUCCACACCUUUAGCAGCUCAAGUCAA